CUCAGGACGAAAAUUAAGACUCUAAAGUAAACAAACCAACAAAAAGACUCUGCCUCUGCGGAAAGAGGCUGCAAAACUCCGGGGCCGGCGCGCGCUCCCACCGCGCACAACCCACGAGCGCUCAGCGCCGCGCGCGACGGCCACAGCCGGGUCAGAAAAGUGGACGCCGCACCCCGGGCUUUCUGGGAGCGGAACGCACAGGUCGGCCCCGCGGCCCGGCUCGCCCUCUUCUCGCUGCCCCUGCGCACCGAUUCUCUCCGGGAAUCGUCCACAAGAGCCCGAGUCCGCCCUCUCCUUCCGGCAGCGGCCGCGCCGAGCCCGCGGCCCUGGACGCCCGCCCCACCAAGUGCCGGCGCAGCCCGGAGAAUCCGCCGCCCCAAGUUCGCCCGAGCACUGAGGCAUUUGGCACUUGGCGGACAGCGAGUCGGUAUUCCUGCCCAGGUUUUGAGCUGACCAGAGAAAAUCACCAUCACAAUGACCAAAUCAAACAGCUGCAUGGGACCUAAGAG
ensembl:lncRNA